AGGGCUGUCUUCUUUCUCCUCUCUCUGUCGGUGGGUAACCACCCCCACCCUCACCCUGCUCUCUAGCCCCCUUCCCUUUCUCUCUCCAUCUCGUGGACUCUCCCAUAGGGAGACUCCCACCCACAGCCAGCUUCUCCCUCCUCCGCCCUCCCUCCACAGAGAAUGCCAAGUCUGCAGCUUUCCUGCGACCUUGAACAGGCAGCAGCUCCGUGCUUGCCUGGGAGAGCCUCGGGGAGGGGCCUAAGAGCUGAGCCCUGCAGAGGUUCCAGGAGAGAUGACAUUCCACCUUUCAGAUGAGGAAACCAAGUCAGCAAAGGCAGACAGCUGGACAUACAACCCAGGCUAGCUUGACUCUUGAGCCUCCUGCCUCUGCUUCCUGAAUUGUGGUAACUGAGGUAUGUACCAGCCUGCCAACACUGCACAUUUUCGUGAAACCUGGGUAGAGUGUGUGCCACUGAGAACAGGACAACCCCUCCCUCCCAUGGGGCAAGACUUGGGCCUUCUCUCUACACGUCUCCCCAAACCUGUGAUACUGUGCUCUCGGCUGCAGGACACAACCCUCUGGGACUCUUUCCGCUCUACCUCUCGGUUAACUGAUGUAAUGGAGGUUUGGAUGAAAAUGUCCCUGCAUAAACUCGUACAU